AUGAGGCUGCUGGGUCUUGUCCUGUGCCUGGUCACAGCUCUCCAAGGUGUCCUGUGCCAGGUGCAGCUGAAGGAGUCAGGACCUGGCCUGGUGAAGCCCUCACAGACCCUGUCCCUCACCUGUGCUGUCUCUGGAUUCUCCAUCACAACCAGUGGUUAUGACUGGAGCUGGAUUCGUCAGUCCCCAGGGAAGGGGCUGGAGUGGAUAGGGUACAUAUCUAGUGGUGGUAGCACUAACUACAGCCCAUCCCUCAAGAGCCGAGUGUCCAUCUCCAGAGACACGUCCAAGAACCAGUUCUCCCUGCAGCUGAGCUCCCUGACCACUGAGGACACAGCCACCUAUUACUGUGCCAGAGACACAGGUGGUUCUCAUCUGCUGUCCACCAACAAGGUGUGA